rnacentral:rRNA from 1 species
GACGAACGCUGGCGGCGUGCUUAACACAUGCAAGUCGAACGGAAAGGCCCUGCUUUUGUGGGGUGCUCGAGUGGCGAACGGGUGAGUAACACGUGAGUAACCUGCCCUUGACUUUGGGAUAACUUCAGGAAACUGGGGCUAAUACCGGAUAGGAGCUCCUGCUGCAUGGUGGGGGUUGGAAAGUUUCGGCGGUUGGGGAUGGACUCGCGGCUUAUCAGCUUGUUGGUGGGGUAGUGGCUUACCAAGGCUUUGACGGGUAGCCGGCCUGAGAGGGUGACCGGCCACAUUGGGACUGAGAUACGGCCCAGACUCCUACGGGAGGCAGCAGUGGGGAAUAUUGCACAAUGGGCGGAAGCCUGAUGCAGCAACGCCGCGUGCGGGAUGACGGCCUUCGGGUUGUAAACCGCUUUCGCCUGUGACGAAGCGUGAGUGACGGUAAUGGGUAAAGAAGCACCGGCUAACUACGUGCCAGCAGCCGCGGUGAUACGUAGGGUGCGAGCGUUGUCCGGAUUUAUUGGGCGUAAAGGGCUCGUAGGUGGUUGAUCGCGUCGGAAGUGUAAUCUUGGGGCUUAACCCUGAGCGUGCUUUCGAUACGGGUUGACUUGAGGAAGGUAGGGGAGAAUGGAAUUCCUGGUGGAGCGGUGGAAUGCGCAGAUAUCAGGAGGAACACCAGUGGCGAAGGCGGUUCUCUGGGCCUUUCCUGACGCUGAGGAGCGAAAGCGUGGGGAGCGAACAGGCUUAGAUACCCUGGUAGUCCACGCUGUAAACGGUGGGUACUAGGUGUGGGGUCCAUUCCACGGGUUCCGUGCCGUAGCUAACGCUUUAAGUACCCCGCCUGGGGAGUACGGCCGCAAGGCUAAAACUCAAAGGAAUUGACGGGGCCCCGCACAAGCGGCGGAGCAUGCGGAUUAAUUCGAUGCAACGCGUAGAACCUUACCUGGGUUUGACAUGGGUCGGGAGUGCUCAGAGAUGGGUGUGCCUCUUUUGGGGUCGGUUCACAGGUGGUGCAUGGCUGUCGUCAGCUCGUGUCGUGAGAUGUUGGGUUAAGUCCCGCAACGAGCGCAACCCUUGUUCACUGUUGCCAGCACGUUAUGGUGGGGACUCAGUGGAGACCGCCGGGGUCAACUCGGAGGAAGGUGGGGAUGACGUCAAGUCAUCAUGCCCCUUAUGUCCAGGGCUUCACGCAUGCUACAAUGGCUGGUACAGAGAGUGGCGAGCCUGUGAGGGUGAGCGAAUCUCGGAAAGCCGGUCUCAGUUCGGAUUGGGGUCUGCAACUCGACCUCAUGAAGUCGGAGUCGCUAGUAAUCGCAAAUCAGCAACGCUGCGGUGAAUACGUUCCCGGGGC